UUUGUAGUAUAAUUCCAUCCCAUGCAAUAUUUGGGACAUACUUAUACUAAAA
rnacentral:pre_miRNA from 1 species